CUUCUAGAAGCCGUUCACGUUACUUGACUCGUGGCUCCCUUCCUCCCUCUUCAAAGUUAGCCAUGGAGGACUACUUUUUUAAUCACAUGGACAAAAGAAGUAACAUCGAAGGCCUCCAGGUCACUUUGCAUUGUACAAAUCUCAACAUUUCACCAGCCUGGCCUCAUCAUUCAUGGAAAUUUGGGAGAAAAGAAGAUUUCACGGGAAAGGACCACAAACUCAGUUCCUCUCAACUUUGUUGAAGAAUGUCAGCAAAUUACAAUUGUUCAG